rnacentral:rRNA from 1 species
AUUGAACGCUGGCGGCAUGCCUUACACAUGCAAGUCGAACGGCAGCACGGGAGCAAUCCUGGUGGCGAGUGGCGAACGGGUGAGUAAUGUAUCGGAACGUACCUUUCAGUGGGGGAUAACGUAGCGAAAGUUACGCUAAUACCGCAUAUUCUGUGAGCAGGAAAGCAGGGGAUCGCAAGACCUUGCGCUGAUUGAGCGGCCGAUAUCAGAUUAGCUAGUUGGUGAGGUAAAGGCUCACCAAGGCGACGAUCUGUGGCGGGUCUGAGAGGAUGAUCCGCCACACUGGAACUGAGACACGGUCCAGACUCCUACGGGAGGCAGCAGUGGGGAAUUUUGGACAAUGGGCGCAAGCCUGAUCCAGCCAUGCCGCGUGAGUGAAGAAGGCC